rnacentral:rRNA from 1 species
GACGAACGCUGGCGGCGCGCCUAACACAUGCAAGUCGAACGAGCGAGAGAGAGCUUGCUUUCUCGAGCGAGUGGCGAACGGGUGAGUAACGCGUGAGGAACCUGCCUCAAAGAGGGGGACAACAGUUGGAAACGACUGCUAAUACCGCAUAAGCCCACGGUGCCGCAUGGCACCGAGGGAAAAGGAGCAAUCCGCUUUGAGAUGGCCUCGCGUCCGAUUAGCUAGUUGGUGAGGUAAUGGCCCACCAAGGCGACGAUCGGUAGCCGGACUGAGAGGUUGAACGGCCACAUUGGGACUGAGACACGGCCCAGACUCCUACGGGAGGCAGCAGUGGGGAAUAUUGCACAAUGGGGGAAACCCUGAUGCAGCGACGCCGCGUGGAGGAAGAAGGUCUUCGGAUUGUAAACUCCUGUUGUUGGGGAAGAUAAUGACGGUACCCAACAAGGAAGUGACGGCUAACUACGU